UGAGAUCCCAUAUGUAACAGGAUGGAGUCUGGUCCAGUGUUACUGGGAGCACCCACAGCCCUCUGAUUUCACCAGUUCCCUAAUAUAGUCAACCAAAAAAAAUCUCAGAGAGAUGCUGAGAUACAGAGUUCCUGAACGCCACAUGAACUUGUGCACUUCAAAAAAUCAAAAUCAGGUCAAGGUGUCAAGCUCUUACUUGGUGCUUUCUGAGUCUAUGUCCUGACAUCUCUGCACGUCUCAGUGUUAGACCAGAGAGCUUUCAGCAGAAUUACUCCUUCCUAACAGGAGAAAUCUGAAGUGUUGUGAUAUCAGACUGCAUUUACCAUAUGCCACAUUUAAAUGCAGAAGUUUUCAUUGGCCCAGCACUGAUCUGAAACAUGCUAAGCCUUUGGAAGGAAAAUAGAGAAAGAGAAAGAGAGAAAAAGAGAAGGGAAAACAACCUCAUCCCUCUAACAAGUUACCUUACGAGCAACCAGCUUCCAGGAUCCUGGCAGACUGGGAGCUCUUCUAGGGGAGAGAAGGGGGUGCUGACCUGCACAUGAAAUGCAGUCCAUCACAUGGCAGUGCUGUUUACCAUUCAUAUUCUACUCCUGUAUGGUUAGGAAAAACCACAGACACUGAAGUUGCUCUUUGUCAGCAUGUUUCUGUUCCUGCAAGUGACCAUCAUCAAAGAGCUCUGCCAGCAGCUAAAGCAAUGAACAAGAAAGAACUACCAAUAAUCCCAGCCUCUGUAGUUUUCCCUUAAACAGCUUUGACAGGACUUGUUGAACAGACAAGAGAGCCCUGAAACUUUCAAAUGAAAGCAGAAAUACAAGCAAAACUGUCAAACUUCAUUUGAGUUAACACGUCUAAUAAAUAUUGUGACCAGAAAUACUUUUCCAGAAAUGCAGGCAUGAGACUAAAUACAUAACUGAAAGACAUUGCUCCUGGACUGUAACCCCAGCUCUGCCACUGACACUUUCAGUGAUUUCAUUUUUGGUAUUUAUCCCUUGGUCACACCACCUUCCCUACUGGCAAAUGAACACGAGGAUACUGAAUUUCCUGGGUGAGGCUGAGGCAAGCGUGUGUGUUCUGACAUCUGACAUAUUUUACUUGUGUAAAAUAAUCAAUAUGUUACCCACAUGUUGAUUCCUGUCUCCAUUUUGCUAGUGCCAGCAACUCUGCUAUUUAUUUUAAUUGAGGAACUUCAUACUCCUUUUUCCAUGGGUUCCCAAACUGUACUACACCUCGUGGGAAGCUGCUUCUAAUAAACGCCUGUAAAUCCAUCUCAUUCUUGAUUUAAAUUCCUACAUCACAGCA